rnacentral:rRNA from 1 species
UACGUAGGGCGCAAGCGUUGUCCGGAAUUAUUGGGCGUAAAGAGCUCGUAGGCGGUUUGUCGCGUCUGCUGUGAAAUCCCGAGGCUCAACCUCGGGCUUGCAGUGGGUACGGGCAGACUAGAGUGCGGUAGGGGAGACUGGAAUUCCUGGUGUAGCGGUGGAAUGCGCAGAUAUCAGGAGGAACACCGAUGGCGAAAGCAGGUCUCUGGGCCGCAACUGACGCUGAGGAGCGAAAGCAUGGGGAGCGAACAGG